UCUUCUCCUGCAUUGCUGUUGCGCUAAGCUAUGCGAUAGGCUUGUCUUGCUGCUUAAUGUUGCUGCUGUAACAUAUCUGCCACCCCGCUAUGCGUUGUUUGGUUCCCACCAGCCCGGCCUCCAUCUGUUUUGGCUCUGCUUUCUUUUCCUGUCAGAUUGGUAUGUAUAUCUCGCUCACUGCCCGAAGUUGAUCAAUAAGGGUAAUAAUUGACUCAUUGCUCGGACGAUGAGCUCUCCUGAAGGAGCUUGACGCCAAGAUCAAAUGUACUGUCAUCUCUUUUGUAAUACAUGGUUAAAGGAAUUGUGGGUUUAAUUUCUGAAUUGAAACAAGUAAUGAUUCAAUUCUUUAUUUGAAAAAAAUUCUAAGCCACUGUCAUUGACAAUAUUUUGCAUAGGACAUUUACAUAGGACAUUUUUCAGUUAGCGUUAGAUCUGCCCAUAGUAGGGAUUUCUAUGUCAGGUCUCCCAGAGAUCAAGUAUGCGCCAGGGUGAACAUUGACAUUCUAGAGUUCACCUGCUGUGAAGGAGAACGGCAUGAGGGGGCUGGGCAGUCCUGCUGUGGAAAGAGGUCCUUCAACCUCAUCCAGGCUUCAUGUUGUGAUGGUGAGAUAGACAGAGUCAUGUCUCCUAGCAGUAUCCCACUGCAUCUAUUCACUCUAACCUGAUAACUGUGAAAACAUUAUUUUCUCAGCACCUUCCAAGUUUUGUUUUGAUAUGCUUGAUAUGUGUUUAUCUGUGAUUCAACCAUUUCUUGCAGGUCAACUGACUCCGCAUGUGAGCCAGCUGGUGUCAGAUUGCUGUGGCUCUAGGGCCUAUGAUCCACUCAACCAGCUAUGCUGUGACUUACAGAUUCUAACCAGGACCCAACUCCAUUCCAAGUGUUGUGGAAAAGAGCUUUACAAUGAAGACCACCAGCUCUGCUGUGGACAUGUCGAUAAAGGAAGGAAGGUCCUGACCAAAAUGUCCCGUCACCACCGGUGCUGUGGAGACCACCAGUUUGAUCCGCGAAGCCACUGCUGCUGCCACCACAUCACUGAACCAUUAAACCCUCAGCCUCUCAAUGCAAGCUGCUGUGCCAUCCAGGAAGUGCGACAUACUCCCCCAGCGCAAAUUGUUCAGAACAAAAAAAUUGCUCAGAGUUCUCCAAACUGUAUGCCUGGGGAGAAGCCUUGUGGUCAAUGUGCCUGCUUUAACCCAAUAACAGAACGUUGCUGUGUGAACCCUACAUGUCUCCAGGGACAAAGUUACUCACAUGACCAGACCUGCUGUGAGGGAACACUCAGCCAUACUCCAGGUCACUACCAUAGUGCUAGCUGUGGCUCUAAGGUGUACAAUCCAGACAUCAAAACCUGCUGUUGCGGGAAGGUGUCCAAUAAGGUGCUUGGAGUAAACCUGUGCUGCGGUACAACUCCGUAUGGUGUAGAGGACCGAGGGGUGCUGUGCUGUAACCAGACCUUGCACCAUGUGGUGGAGGAUGGGUACCAGUGCUCCCCAGGUGGCCACUUGUAUCUGCCAUCCCGUGAGAUGGUGUGUGGCUCACGAGUUCAUCUGAACGAUCCAGACAAACACUGCUGUGGGGAGGAGACAUACUACCCUUGGAAUGAAAUCUGCUGCAACGGACGCAAACACCACAGGUUGAGAAAUGUUUCCUGCUGCGGAGGGAAGGCCUACGACCCCAGCAGUGGCCAGAUGAAGUGCUGUGCAGGGACUCUGUACGACCUGCAGUUUCAGGACAGACUCUCAGAGGAAGCCCAGUGCUGUGGGAGUGUCCUGAUGGAGGCCGGCUCCACCCAGACCUGCUGCUCUGCCCCAGGGCUAGACGUGCUCUACCCUACCCAGCCAGGCUUCACCUGCUGUGGGCACCGCUACCCCAAUGCCUCCCUGUGGUCUUGCUGCGCCGGGGUCCUGCACUCAAGGCCUGAACCACACAACACCACCAAGAACGUGAUUCCAGGACCCAGACUUCUACCACUGGGGGAUCUGAAGACUGAAGUCCUGUGUCACAGCAGAGGUAAGGCCUCCAGUUUGAAGCACAAGAUGACAGGAAACAUUACUCACUACUUUGAUCUUUAGUAAGAACAGUGGGAAGCACUAGAAUCUUCUUUGACUCUUGGAAGUACAGUGGUUUCACAACGCUUAUCUAAAGUGUGUGUGUGUGUGUGUGUGUGUGUGUGUGUGUGUGUGUGUGUGUGUGUGUGUGUGUGUCCAGUUCUGCUGGGGACAGUGGAGAGUGUGUCUGUGAAGAUGAAUGAGCGGUCCAUCGUGAUGGUGAACGCCAUGGACAUGCCGGCCUCGCGUGGCCAUGUCAGCGCCGUGCCUUUCCCUCACUACCUCACAUUACCCGACCACUGCAGCUCCCCUGAACUGGUGCCGGGCAACACUUACAUCUGGGUGAAAAAUAAUUUCUCAGACACCAUAAGUUUCAUCUCUGAUCUCAGCGAUCAUUCCUCCCCUCUUCAUUCCAUCCUUUCCAGGUGCUGAACCUUUUUCUUUCCCAGAGUAAAGCUCUACAUAAUGUUUUAAAGCUUUACAGUGUUUGUUUGCAAGUACAUUGUUAACAAUCAACGGUGUAAUAAAAAGCUCAUCUUGGGUUCAGAUGGGGUUCGACAAGUAGACAAGCCAUGUGUGUGAAGUGAAUAUCACAUUGUGCAGGAAAAAAAAGCCUAUUUUAACCAAGCAUUUGUGUGUAGGUGUAUGACUUCACCAUGCAUCAAUUCAGGUGGUGUUG
rnacentral:lncRNA from 13 species